AAUAAGUAUUUGAUCCCCUGCUGAUUUUGUAAGUUUGCCUACUUACAAACAAAUGAAGGGUCUAUAAUUUUUAUGGUGGGUUUAUUUUAACUGAUAGACACAGAAUAUUAAAAAAAAUCAGGGGAAAAAAAUGUUAUAUAAAGGUUAUAAAUUGAUUUGCAUUUCAGUCAGUGAAAUAAGUAUUUGAUCCCCGAGCAAAACAUAACUUUGUACUUUGUGGAGAAACCCUUGUUGGCAAGCACAGUGGUCAGACAUUUCUGAUAGUUGGUCACCAGGUUAAAUAUUGUCUUUUGCUGACACUCUUCCAAACCGACGUUAGAAGAAAUCUCUCUCCAAGAAUUCGCCGCCAUCUGACAGUCUUUAUAGUCCGCCGAAGAGGAGUCAUACAGAUGCGUGCAUUUUCGAACCUCUUCAAUCAGACGCUCAGUAACUUGGUCGAUGUCGAUGCUCGCCAUGUUGUUCUUUUGUGGACUCUGAACUUGCCGGAAGAAGACGCCAGAAAUGCGUAGAAGGAAGUACGAUGCUGCCAAACCGACCAAUCACAGCGCUUGCGGUCCGCGUUGAGUUGACGCGUUGUUACAUUUUUGGAGAGGUGCGCUACGCAGAACCAUAAUUUGGCUUUAACUCUUCCGUUGUUUUUCUGACUCGUGAUGCUACGCGCAAUGGCAGUUGGGUGCUUUUCCUUUUCCACUUCCGGCUAAGUGAUGUAUCGAUGUUCCCUGAUUCCCUACGCCGUUCGCAGUGCCCUUCGAACUAAGCGUUGUCGCUACCUGAUCCGUCCCGGAAACACGAUUUGUUCCGCGCAUGCGCGAAACUGACGCCACUUCCGGUUAAUCCAUCUUUUACGACAGUCGACUCGAUCCGUUCAGGGGUUGCUCGAUUUGUACUGCGCAUGUGCAAAAGCGCAUCACGACACUUGUCCUGCGGAUGUGCUCGAUUAGAUAUUUGGUGAUGAGUAUGUGAUAGCAGUAUAGACUCUUUUGCAUUUGAUGAACAACUUAAAUAUUAUCUCUUAAAAUGAGAAAUUCCUGACAGCCCUACAGAGCGUCGGAAGGUAAAACGGGCGUCUACGAAUUAUAUCCUCAAAGAGCAACCUUUCCUCUUUAAACAGAUGACAGACUCUUCUACACGGGCCCUAGCAGAGCAGGCAGUACAUACGGCUAGUUGUCCUGUCAGAGGAAGAGAAAACAUCUGAUUUUACAGAGUGCCACAAUAACCCAGGAACUGUCAAUCACAGCGGUGUCAGAGGCACUCAAAACAGGGUUAUUGCUGGCUACUAUUGGUCCACAAUAAUCAACGAAGUGAAAGAAUGGGUAAUAUACUACAGAGGUGGUACUUUACUUUACUGAAUGACCCCAUCAAACUGUUGUGCCAGUCUUGCAUUCCAUUAAGGUAAAAGAAGCUUGGUUUAGAUUGAUUGGACCACUACCAGAAACAAGUAUGUCCGUACCAUGACUGACUGUACACCAAAUGGGAAAUGCUUGCCUCAAGAUUGUAGAAGAAGCUGCACGACAACAUUUACUGUGUACUAUUGUGGCCCGGUUUCACAGACAAGGCUUAGCUUAUGCCAGGACUAGGCCUUAGUUAAUUAUCUGCAUGCUGAUGUAUGCACCUGCACAUCGUGUCCAUUAACAUUCACAGAGACACCCGAUGGUAGGCCAAACCAUUGCAGUCUAUCUGUCCUUCUGGUUUUCUUCCCACCUUUUCGAUUUCAACAUGGCAGCGGAGUGAAAUCUAUUGCAUGUAUGCUGAAUAUGUGCCUAUAUGCAUGCACAUAUACACACAUGAAUACAAACUUGAGAGAGGGAGAGAUGGAAGGAGGUAGUGAGUGAAUGAAUAACUACAGAAAAGAAGGAACAAAUGUAUAAAUAAAUUGAAUGAAUUCAGAAAAUUCUGUGUGUUUCUUAAAUACAGACAUUUGUUAAAGCAUGCUAAAAUAUGUAGAGCAUAACAUAUAAAUAAAACACACACUUUACUAAAUGGUGUCUUAAAAUUCAACUUAAUAGUUAACAUUUGUAUUUAAUUUUUCAAUUAUUUAAUUGGGGUAACAUUUUGUGCCACAUAUUGACCUUUACAUAUUUUGCCAAAAAAAGUAAGAAGAGAAUCAUUAAUAAAAAAUAAACUUAGUUUUACUAUAAACAAAAAACAUUUUUUUAUGAAUAAAAAUCUAUUUCUCACUGCUGACAUAUAAUAGGAUUCUUAGUGUAUCUCUCGUACGUUUCUCCAAACCAUUACAAAUUGUAAUGUGUUUAAUGUC